rnacentral:sRNA from 1 species
UUCAACAAGGACGAUCAGAAGAAAUCUUAG